rnacentral:tRNA from 1 species
AGCAGUGUGGCUUAGUGGUUAGAGCACGGGCUUGGGAGUCAGAAGGAUCUGGGUUCUAAUCCCAGCUCCACCA